GAUGAACGCUGGCGGCGUGCCUAAUACAUGCAAGUCGAGCGAACGGACGAGAAGCUUGCUUCUCUGAUGUUAGCGGCGGACGGGUGAGUAACACGUGGAUAACCUACCUAUAAGACUGGGAUAACUUCGGGAAACCGGAGCUAAUAUCGGAUAAUAUUUUGAACCGCAUGGUUCAAAAGUGAAAGACGGUCUUGCUGUCACUGAUAGAUGGAUCCGCGCUGCAUUAGCUAGUUGGUAAGGUAACGGCUUACCAAGGCAACGAUGCAUAGCCGACCUGAGAGGAUGAUCAGCCACACUGGAACUGAGACACGGUCCAGACUCCUACGGGAGGCAGCAGUAGGGAAUCUUCCGCAAUGGGCGAAAGCCUGACGGAGCAACGCCGCGUGAGUGAUGAAGGUCUUCGGAUCGUAAAACUCUGUUAUUAGGGAAGAACAUAUGUAUAAGUAACUGUGCACAUCUUGACGUUACCUAAUCAGAAAGCCACGGCUAACUACGUG
rnacentral:rRNA from 1 species